CUACCGUGUUCUAGGUUUGUAUGUAGUUAUACAGAUCUUUUGUAAUUUUGUUCAACAUGGCAGCCGGGGAAGAAGUUGGAGUUGCUGCGUUGGUAUAUGAUUAUUUGUUGAAGAAAGACACUUCACUUGCAUACAUAUUUCAAAAAAAGACAAAGGCGAGUCCUCUAGCAAAAGGUUCUCCUACUAUCCUUGAUAUUUAUAAACAUUACCAAACAAACUCAUCACCGAAGAAAAAAGUUCAAGUACAGGGUCAUGGGGUUCCAAAGAAAUCUGAGUCAUCUGACUCCAGUUCAGAAUCUGAUGAAAAAACUCCUAAGAAGCCAGUUACCCCACUUAACGGCAAAGUAGGAAUAAAGCCACCUGCAAAAAAAGAUUCAAGCUCAGAAUAUAGCUCUGAUGAUUCUGAUGGUCCACCAGCAAAAGUUGUUACUAAGUCCCUACAAGCAAAGACUCCUCCUAAACCGCUUCUAGUUCAGAAGAAACAAGCAGAAAGCAGCAGUGAAGAUGAUAGCAGUGAAGAAGAAGCAGCACCUUCUAAAGUGCCAGUCAAGACUCCGCCUACAAAAUCUCCUGCUGGGCAAAAAAUCCCUAAGAAGGCACCUGUAGUUCAGAAGAAACAAGAAUCUUCAAGUGAAGAAGAAUCAUCUGAUGAGGAUGAGCCAAAAGUUAAAGUAGUACCCAAGCUUUCCAGUAAGUCUCCAAGCAGACCCCCAACAAAACCUGCAGCACUAGCCAAACAACAGGAAUCCAAUUCAGAGGAUUCUGAUGACAGCUCUGAGGAGGACACACCAACUGUUAAGGUUCCACCUAAAGCAAAGGCAGUUUCUGUCAAAAUUGCACCAGUUCCUGCAAAAUCACAGUCCGUCUCAGAGGAAGAUGAUAGUUCUGAUGAUGAUGACGACGACACACCUGCUCCGAAGCAAACAGUAAAAUCUCCAGUCACGCCUCAACUGAAUAAGUCAAACAAGCAGGCAGCCACCCCAGUUCCAAAAACACAGAAAGAAGAGUCCAGUUCAGAUGACUCCAGCUCGGAAGAGGAGGUGCAAACUAAAACUCCUGCAAAGGCUUCAAAGCACAAAGCAAAAAUUCUAGUUACACCUCAAGUCACGAUGAAGUCGAGCAAGUAUGCAUCCACCCCGUAUCCUGCAAAGACACAGAAAGAAGAGUCCAGUUCAGAUGAUUCCAGCUCAGAAGAGGAGACACAAGCUAAAACUCCCGCAAAAGUUGUGCCAAAACAAACACCGGCUAAGAAAGCACAGUCAAGUUCAGAGGAUUCUGAUGACUCUUCAGAGGAUGACAAAGAGGAACCUCCUAAGUCAGCAUCCAAGAAACCAACUCCUGCCCGUCAGAAGAGGAAGAAUCGUGAUGAGUCUGAAGACAGCAGUGGCAAUGGUGUUGAAGAGGAAACAGAUGUAAAACACAUGAGUAAAAAACAAGCUGCUGAGCCUUAUUCCAACUUUGUUAAAAGUCGUAACUCUUUCAACGGAACAGAAAAGGAUGGUGAUGAAGAUCAAGAUACUGGAUAUAAAGAGGAAGGAAAGAAGAACUUCUGGGAGGAUAGGAGAGGCUCGUUUGGCGGUAGAGACAACAGAGGCGGAUUUAGAGGUGGUCGGGGUGGUUUUCAUGGCCAGGAUAGAGGAGGAGGAGGAGGUUUCCGAGGGCCGAGGAGGCUUUAGGCAUAGUGAUGGGGGUGAUAAUUUCAGAGGGGGAAGGGGGGGAGGUUUUAGGGGCAGUGGUGGUCGUGGCGGAGAUAGGGGAGGUUUUAGGAAGAGUUUUGGUGAAGGAGGUCAGGGAGGUUUCAGAGGUGGUGAAAAUGCUGGAGGAUACCAGAAGAGGGACUCGUUUGGUAGCAAUGAAAACAAGAAAAUCAAAUUUGACGACUAAAUUUGAAGAGAGGUGCUCGAGGUUCAUGGGGAGAACGUGCUAACCAUGAUCUCAAGUUCACACGAGGGAAAAGUUUCCGGCAUGAAAAAACAAAGAAGAAACGUGGAAGCUAUCGUGGAGGUCAGAU